rnacentral:misc_RNA from 1 species
AACGCACCUUGCGCUCCUUGGUAUUCCGAGGAGCAUGCCUGUUUGAGUGUCAUUAAAUUCUCAACCCAUCCAACUUGUAAUAAAGUUGGUAUGAGGCUUGGAUAUGGGGGUUUUGCAGGCCUUUGUUGGUCAGCUCCUCUGAAAUGUAUUAGCGGAACGGUUUGCGAUCUGUCACUGGUGUGAUAAUUAUCUACGCCUAAGACUAUGGAAAGCUCUCUGUCUGUUCAGCUUCUAACAGUCCCUUGUGGACAACUUUAUUGAAAGUUUGACCUCAAAUCAGGUAGGAUUACCCGCUGAACUUAA